CAUAGCUUCAUUCUCUGGUUUUCCUGAUGGUUUCAUCCAUCAAGCAUCAUUUGCCCUUUGCCAUGUAUGAGUGAUUGUUUGUUGGUUUGUGAGACUAGUUUGUGUUAGUGUUUAGUUAAUAAAACUCUUGUGCACAAAUUACAUGAGUUUCUGAUUCUGCCUUACAAAUCAAUGUCCCUUUACGAUUUUGGUCUGUGGUACAUGCUCUAAUGCAUUAGUAGGCUACUGUAAGUCACAAAAAUAUCCUUUCUCAGAUUUUAUAUGAAAUUACUCUAAAUGUUCACUGGACGAACAGAUUAGUUGAUGGCAAUUUAAUUCUACUACAGUUACUACUGGCAGCUAAUAGAAAUAAUUGUAAAUAAUCAUAAUUAAUUGUAAUUAUAUAUACACACACAGAUACACAUUUCCCUUUUGAGAUAAUUUGUUACAGUGUUUUUACAUAUGAGUCUGUAAUUUUCUGUUUGUUGAACUUUAGAUUGUACAACACGUUUGAAGGAUGUAAAUUGAUCAAGCAAGUGGGCUUAUCAGGUUUUUUUUCCAUGUUAUAGGUCUCAGCGGUUCCGAACACUAUGUGCUGUGUGACCGUGAUACUCUUCUUGAGGAUACUGAGGUUUCUAUUUCCUCACAGACCACCAAAUGAUAUAAUCCAAAAUAUAAAUCAGUUGAGAAAGCAAAGUCACUAGGUCCAGGACAAUGGGUCUCCAAAGUUUGUGCAACUGUCUGCAAACUAAACAUACCAACAACUAUAAAGGCCUGGGAUGGAUACUAUGAAAUUCAAGACUGUUCUAUCCAAGACUGAUGUGGACAGAUUAUAGUUACACUUUGGGAAAUGCACAUCUCCCAGCUUGUACUAGGUAAAUCCUACACUUUCAAAAGCCUUGAAACUAGACAAAUCCAAAACAUGAAGAAGCUCACAACAACUCCCAGCACAACCAUUGAACUCAUUCAACAAGAUGAAGUCUUUCCACCUGGUCAGGGCCCUCAAAUCAUUGAGGAGCCCCUACCCAACUGCAGGUAUAACAGUAAAACCAACAGGGGCCCAAAUAAGCAUUAAAAAACGGUGUCCAAAAUGCCAUAAACCUCAGAAAAACUUAAGUGUGAAACAAGAAUUUCACUGAUGUCACACUUCCAAAAUUCUGUGCAAAACGUACAACUAUAUAAUAAAAUGCAAUGGCAUUACAGAACUCGAACAAGAUGUUCGCAUAAUCACCCUUUCAAUUUCCCCAUUCUUACAAACUCAUAUCACAGGUCUUGCACUUGUCUACCUGUGACUCUCAAGAUACUGAGGAGCUUUUUCUAAGCACUGACUUACAAUGAUUGUUUAGAAAUCAUCAAUGUAGAAAAAACUUCUUCAGCUCAUCCCAGUGAUGAGGAGUUAAUAGAAAUGUCUUUGAAUGAAACAAACUCUGUCAUCUGUGUAAAAGACACACCGGACAAUAUCAGUCCUACACCUCAGUCUCCUGUUAAAGGGGUCAUAUGAUGCUAUUUGAAGUGACCAUAAUGGGGUUGGCCCUGGAAUUGCUGCUAACAGCUAUAUUAACUAAGUUUAUUUCUGUUUUCUCUAUUCUAUUUCUGUGUGCUGUUGAAGAGUGGGUCAGACUGGGACAGAUUAGACAAAAAAAGGUCACAUAUGCCCCUAAAAAAAGGUAAGUUGAGUACCCAUUAAGUUAUAUGGUGGAUAUUGGUAGUUUGAGAAAAACAGAUUAAAUCUGCAAGUGUACUGAAACUUUUAAUUUAUUGAAUAAUUGGCAGAGACACCAGUACAGUAGCUCGAUGACAUCCAAAGAGUGUAGGAGGCAGUACAACAAAAUCUGGGCUAGAGUAUCAAGGGCACAAAAGAAGGCAGACAACAAAGAAAUGAUCAGUUCAGUUGAGAUGGCCAGCAUCGCUGAAAGUGACAGCCUUAGUCACUACCAGCACAUUGAGGAGCAUCAUCUUGACAUGUUUUCAGAUCCAGCCCUGUCAAGUUCUGAGCGCGAACAAGAACUUUCCGAAUGGGCAUGUAUGUUUCAAGUUAAACAUAAUGCUGUAGAUGCUCUAUUAAACAUCCUUGAAAGACAUGGGCAUGAAGACCUUCCCCAUACUGCACACAUACUGACACAUGAACCAUUAUGAACUUACAACCAAAUAUGGUGUCAAGAGUGUACAGUUUAAUGUGGCAGAUCAGCUCUCAACACAUCUGAGCAGGUAUCCUGCUCUAUCUGCAGUCACUGACCUCUCCCUAACAAUGAUGGGCUGCCAAUGUUCAGACUCAAACAUAUCCCUCUGGCCAGUUCUCUGUUCCAAAAACUUGUCACCAGAAUGUAUUUUCCCCUGUACAUAUCCACUGCUGCUUCCAAACCCAAAACCCCAAACUUUGUCUCAUACACUGUUUAGCAAUUGGCAGAACUGAUCUAGGAUGGUCUGACUUGGGAGGCUGUAUGUUACCUGCAAUGCUCCAGCUAAAGCUAUGGUAAUGUGUAUAAAGCAAUUUUCUGGAUACUAUGGGUGCGAUAAAUGUGACCAGAGGGGAUCUUGGGAUGGCCAAAUGAUAUAUCCAGAAACAAAUAACCUGACCAUGAGAACAGAUUGCAGGAAAUAGACUGCUGGAAAGCAACAGAGUUCAGACAGUUUGCUAUCUACACGGGGAAGAUUGUUCUGAAGGGAUUUCUUCAAGACCAGCUCUAUGAACACUUCUUGAGCUUCAGCAUGGCUCUUUGCAUUUUGGGAAACCCAGAUUUCACAAAGUCACGCAAGGACCUUAUGCAAACCAGCAGCAGAGAUAUUUUGUGUAGAGAGGACGGGAGCUGUAUGGAGAGACAUUUUGAUUUAGAAUUCAGCAUUCCUUGCUGCAGCUUGCAGAAGAUGCCCAAAACUUUGGCAGCCUUGACAGCUGCAGUGCUUUCAAGUUUGAGAGCUAUCUUCAUCAAAUGAAAAAACUGGUCCGAUCUAGGAAAAAUGUUUGGGCACAAGUUGCAAAUCGUCUGGAGGACACAUCCAAGACCAAGAUAGAAAUUAAGGAAAAUAAUGUGCCCAAACAAUAUCUUGAACAAUGUUCUGAGGUGUUGUCAGGAAAAGCGGACGAUAUACACAAAUCUACAGCCAUAUCCACUGACACCGUGUUAUUUCUCGUCUCUGUGGAACAUACAUGGCUAACAUUAGGCAUUCUCAAAUGCUUUGCUCAGAAAGAGAGUCCUCCUGUCUUCUGGUGAUUUGCUCUCCAGUGCCAUUCACUUUUGAAAACCUAGAUGUUUCUAGUACAACACGAAUCAACACUGGAAAACAUCACUUAAGUAUAAGGUUUAUCUUAACAAUGUAUUACUCAACCAUCUUUGUGGAUCGAAAGGAUCGAUGUGGUCCUGUUCCACUAUUGGCUCAAAUGUUGGGACCAAGGUCAUAAAAUGUGCCAUUCCGGACAAACAUCUCUGGACAAAAUAUGCCGUCAGAGUAUUUUCUGACACAGAACAGACAGUUACACUCUAAUAAGGUGUCGGGCCCAAAAAACUGUUGAAACUUCCUGUUGAGGACUCGGAUGGAAAUGGUUCACAAAAAAUUAUACCACCAAGAAGAUUUAGAGAAGAACUUCAGCCCAUCGAACCCAGAAAGUCACCACAAACAAAACUAUUUCAAGAGGACAGUGAAUCAUCCCAAGAGGGAACUGUUACACACAGGAUCUUUUAGCUCCGGGAACCUGAGACAUCUGGUCACCCUGUGUGUGAAUUAUUAUAAUAUAGCUUGAAAAAGCUAUAGCUUACAAUAAGUACCUAUACAUCUCACCUGAUAACCGCAGCUCCUGAGCGAUCCGCUGUAAAUUAUCAUCUCGGAGGACCCUGUCAUGUACACACUGCAGGACAUCACAUAGCGCUCGCUGUUCCUGCCAAAGUUCAGGGAGUUACUCCAGACAUCUCUUUUGUUUUCAUGAAAGAAUUUAAGCAAUACUUUUCAUUGAUCCAAUGAUCUAAGAACAAAAAAAACUUUGUUUGUAAAUCUUUUCUCAUCUUUAAUUACAUGUAGGGUAAGUCUCUUUUUUUCUCCAUUUUUAAUGUAUUAAACACACCUUUUUCUUUUAUAAAUUAUUUUUUUUCCUUUAAUUUGUUGUCAUUGUCUAUGAUUUUAAUUUGUUGAUGGUUGUCUUACUGUUUGUAUACAG